rnacentral:lncRNA from 1 species
CUCCGCCGCCCGCCCCCGGGGCCGUCCAGGCGGAGGGACCGGGCCGCCUCCGCUCCGCCGGCCCAGGGAGGGAGCAGCGCCGGCCCCGCGGUGCUGCGGCGGACAGCGGCCGGGGAACACCAUCCCAAGGGAGACAGGACCCGACAAAAUUCAGAUUCCAGGACUCUGCUACAUGCAGCUGAAUCAAUGGUGGUGGCAGCAGACCCGUGACACUGUGAGCAGGGAUUCUGCUGAUCUUCUGUGUGCUCAUCAUAUGGGCCUCCAAACUGAGCUGAACUUCUGGAAAGCAAGACAGCAUUUUAAUCAAAAAUUAAACAGAGCAGCAUUGAUGAUUGGACUAAAACCCAGUGGAGAGAGAUUAAUGUGGAACAGAUGGAUGUGCAGCUCAGAAGGUUUGCCAAGGCAGGUUCCACAGCCGUCUAUUUCUGCAAUUUAUCUGUCUCAAUGCCACCCCUUCCUCACUCUUCCCACCCACUUGGACGCUUUGAUCAGGCUGUUGAUAGCAGAAGACCUUCUCAGGCCUUCUGGGACUCCAGUUUUGUAAGGGGAGAAGAUGAAGUCCAAAGUGUAGCUGUCGAUGCUGUGCAUGACUUGAGUACUGAGAAGAUUUUGGAAGAAAUCUGCCAAACAUGGACUGCCAUGGAAUUUUCUUACCAAGAGCAUAAAAGAAUAGAAAUUCCUCUAUUAAAGUUUAAUGAAGAGCUGCUUGAAACUUCAGUUUCAGAUGCAAGUGAUUCUGAAAAGUAA